GCUAGAGAUGCUGCACGCUGCUAACAAGGGAAGGAAGCCUUCAGCUGAGGCAGGUCGUCCCAUUCCACCUACAUCCUCGCCUAGUCUCCUCCCAUCUGCUCAGCUGCCUAGCUCCCAUAAUCCUCCACCAGUUAGCUGCCAGAUGCCAUUGCUAGACAGCAACACCUCCCAUCAAAUCAUGGACACCAACCCUGAUGAGGAAUUCUCCCCCAAUUCAUACCUGCUCAGAGCAUGCUCAGGGCCCCAGCAAGCCUCCAGCAGUGGCCCUCCGAACCACCACAGCCAGUCGACUCUGAGGCCCCCUCUCCCACCCCCUCACAACCACACGCUGUCCCAUCACCACUCGUCCGCCAACUCCCUCAACAGGAACUCACUGACCAAUCGGCGGAGUCAGAUCCACGCCCCGGCCCCAGCGCCCAAUGACCUGGCCACCACACCAGAGUCUGUUCAGCUUCAGGACAGCUGGGUGCUAAACAGCAACGUGCCACUGGAGACCCGGCACUUCCUCUUCAAGACCUCCUCGGGGAGCACACCCUUGUUUAGCAGCUCUUCCCCGGGAUACCCUUUGA
rnacentral:sRNA from 1 species